CACGUAGGGGGCAAGCGUUGUCCGGAUUUAUUGGGCGUAAAGAGCUCGUAGGCGGCUCUGUAAGUCGGGUGUGAAACCUCCAGGCUCAACCUGGAGACGCCACCCGAUACUGCUGUGGCUUGAGUCCGGUAGGGGAGCGUGGAAUUCCUGGUGUAGCGGUGAAAUGCGCAGAUAUCAGGAGGAACACCAGCGGCGAAGGCGGGUCUCUGGACAGUUCCUGACACUGAGACACGAAGGCCAGGGGAGCAAACGGG
rnacentral:rRNA from 1 species